AGCGAACGCUGGCGGCAGGCCUAACACAUGCAAGUCGAACGAUCCUUCGGGAUAGUGGCGGACGGGUGAGUAACACGUGGGAACGUGCCCUUUGGUUCGGAACAACUCAGGGAAACUUGAGCUAAUACCGGAUGUGCCCUUCGGGGGAAAGAUUUAUCGCCAUUGGAGCGGCCCGCGUUGGAUUAGGUAGUUGGUGGGGUAAUGGCCCACCAAGCCUACGAUCCAUAGCUGGUCUGAGAGGAUGAUCAGCCACACUGGGACUGAGACACGGCCCAGACUCCUACGGGAGGCAGCAGUGGGGAAUCUUGCGCAAUGGGCGAAAGCUUGACGCAGCCAUGCCGCGUGAAUGAUGAAGGUCUUAGGAUUGUAAAAUUCUUUCACCGGGGACGAUAAUGACGGUACCCGGAGAAGAAGCCCCGGCUAACUUCGUGCCAGCCGCCGCGGUAA
rnacentral:rRNA from 1 species